rnacentral:rRNA from 1 species
AUUGAACGCUGGCGGCAGGCCUAACACAUGCAAGUCGAGCGGAUGAAGGGAGCUUGCUCCUGGAUUCAGCGGCGGACGGGUGAGUAAUGCCUAGGAAUCUGCCUGUUAGUGGGGGAUAACGUCCGGAAACGGGCGCUAAUACCGCAUACGUCCUGAGGGAGAAAGUGGGGGAUCUUCGGACCUCACGCUAUCAGAUGAGCCUAGGUCGGAUUAGCUAGUUGGUGGGGUAAAGGCCUACCAAGGCGACGAUCCGUAACUGGUCUGAGAGGAUGAUCAGUCACACUGGAACUGAGACACGGUCCAGACUCCUACGGGAGGCAGCAGUGGGGAAUAUUGGACAAUGGGCGAAAGCCUGAUCAAGCCAUGCCGCGUGUGUGAAGAAGGUCUUCGGAUUGUAAAGCACUUUAAGUUGGGAGGAAGGGCAGUAAGUUAAUACCUUGCUGUUUUGACGUUACCAACAGAAUAAGCACCGGCUAACUUCGUG